CCACCUGUAACCUGUUGAGCAGUCCUCUCUGCUUUUUAGCUGAGUGAAGAUGCUUCUCUGCUAGCUGCUACUCUCAAUCAUUUGAAGCAGUUCUUUUACUGAAAUCAAAGACUCUUAGUUUCUUGCCUACAGAGCUACUUAGAUUUGUUUUCUUGGCUAGGCUAUGAGGCACCAAUAACACUCUCAAGACUGUUCUCCCUUUCAAGUUCUAAUAAGGGAGAUGACAUGCAGUAUCUCGGUACAUUACAAGAUAUAUACAUAAUAUAUUAAGUGACUCAACUUUUUGAGUACCAUUUCUACCCUUUCCAUUAUGGGGCCAAUCACAAUUUCCAAAUUGUCUAGCACUGCCCUGAAGAACAGUGUCUGUGGGAUCUGCUUCUUACUCUUCUUAUCAAAAGGAUUCACAGUUUCCUGGCUGAUUGAGUUGAAAGGAUGGAGCUCUCUAUGUAGCUUGUGA
rnacentral:lncRNA from 1 species